GUUAUACUUAAUGCUUUUGGAAGGGUUAUAGGGGUCGGGUGUGAUAUACUUUUUCAGGUAUUUUGUGUCUGAUGUAUGUAAGAGCUUUAUCAUUGGGUUUCUUGGUGAGACCUUAUAUCUUAUGUGUCCUAUAACCCUCUGUAAUUGCGGAUUAUUGCAUACAUUCUAAUUGUAUUUUUUUGUAGGAGUCCAAAGAUGCAAAUGAUACAAUUUCAAACUUAUCACAACCCAUAUUGUGGCCGCUGGCAGCGAACUAGAAUACGACUAGAAACUGUCAAUCAUACGUUAUCGAGGGAAAGGAUGAAAGUUCCAUAACAAGCAACAGUUGUUUUGAUGCAAUUAUCGCCUUAUUGGCAAGUUUUUACAUCUU
rnacentral:lncRNA from 1 species